rnacentral:rRNA from 1 species
UACGAAGGGGGCUAGCGUUGCUCGGAAUCACUGGGCGUAAAGGGUGCGUAGGCGGGUCUUUAAGUCAGGGGUGAAAUCCUGGAGCUCAACUCCAGAACUGCCCUUGAUACUGAGGAUCUUGAGUUCGGGAGAGGUGAGUGGAACUGCGAGUGUAGAGGUGAAAUUCGUAGAUAUUCGCAAGAACACCGGUGGCGAAGGCGGCCAACUGGACCAUUACUGACGCUGAGGCGCGAAAGCGUGGGGAGCGAACAGG